GGACGGCGCUGCAGGCCGUUGCGGCCAUCGCGAAAGUUUUAACGCAAAUUGAAUAGGAUUUAGCCUGAUUUUUUCCAAUCCUGAUAAUAAUGGUACGAGCUCGGCUUAUAACUGCGAAGAUGGGAAAGAAGUUCUUCGAGAGAAACGCGACAUUUGACAGAAAAUUUGACGAAAUUAUCCAAUGUAUGCGAUAUGAUGUGAUGUGAGAGACCAUUCAUCGUGAGCUUCCUUCUUCCUGAGGCGGCAUGAGUCGGAAUCCUCGAACAAGGUCUCAAUACUUUCAAUACAAUGGAUGACAUAGCGUGUGACAUCAGAUAGUAACCCAGACAGUAUAACUUUCAAGUGAUCUACUACAAACUUACCAAAAGCAUUAGUAGUUGGAAAGUUUGGAAAGAUACCCUUAAAGACUUACAAGAAGCCAUCCAAAAUAGAACUAAGUUCUAUCACCCUUGAUCCUCUAAAGGAUGUCAAUAAUACCCUUCCCAGUCAACACUUGGCACUUUCUCUCAACUACUUGUGGAUAAAACUUUUCAGUUGAUAACUGUCCAUCAUGGAAGUGGUUCAUGCAAACUGCUGUGAGAGGUGCAAUGUAUGAGAAAAGAAGGAUUGAAAUCCUUCCAUUCAUUUGCAUGGUAUUAAGACCUGCUUUGUGACAUUCGACCAGCCAGCCAUUAAACAUAACAGGAGCAGAGAUUGUUGCUGCAUCUAUAGGUCUACCAGACGUAGUAGUUUGCGUGGGUGGUUUCCAUCUCCAGUGUCAUACCUUGGCUCAGUAGAUAUAUUAUGGGAGGCAGUGGUUUGGAUUACUACGUGGGAAACUGCAUAUGCUGCCGGAAUAGUAACACACAUGAUAACUGGACAUGAAUACGUUCGAGCUCCCAGAGCCCACAUAGUAUUGACAUCAGCUGUUUUGUUCUCCCUAUUGCUCCCAAACGGUGAAGAUGUAAAUGAUGAAAGUCAGAAAGAAAAAAUGAAUUCGCCACUUGAACAGCUUCUGGAUGGUGGCUGUGCCUGUACCACUGACAGUCUUCUUGGGAUGCUUCAAUCCGAAUCUUUAAGACUACUCUGGCCAAUAUCAUAGAUAAAGAAAAACAGAAAAAGCCUUACUGAAAAAUUAUGGAUCAACAAACUGGAACAAGUAUCCAUUCUGAAGAUGUUUCUGUAUGCCGAACGUAGUACAGGCGAUUGGAAGUUGCACUUGCAAUGCAUCAGGAGAAUGAUACCCUACUUUCACGCUGCUGGGCACCUUGCUUAUGCCGAGUGUGCCAGACUAUAUCUUCACAAAAUGGAGUCGCUAGAAUCCAAGAUGUCUGAAAUUGAUACUGAUGGUGGUUACUUUACUGUGAGAAAAAAGAUCGCCGGUGGAGUGGAAACUUCAUAGAUCAAACUAUUGGACAAAACCUCAUAAGCGCCUCAGUGGCGUGGUUGGUAUGGUGUUGGCGUCCCACCUCGGUGGUCGCGAGUUCGAUUCUCGGCCAUUCCAUUGAGGAGUGAGAGAUGUGUAUUUCUGGUGAUAGAAGUUCACUCUCAACGUGGUUCGGAAGUCACGUAAAGCCGCUGGUCCCGUUGCUGAAUAACCACUGGUUCCAUGCAACGUAAAAGCACCAAACAAACAAAACCAAAACCUCAUGUGAAUGUUUAAAAAAUCCUCAGAGGACAUGACUCGUGAACGUGGAAUUACUGAAAGUACUGUAACAAAGUGUAUCCGUGCAUUUCCCUACUUCAUUCCUCUCUGUGAAGUAAUUGAACAGACUACAAAUAUCCAUACAACAUCAUCUGAAAACUACAAUGAAUCACAACAACGUUCUGAGGUUCAAGACCACAAAGACCAAGCAACUAUUCUACAAUGGUUGAAUGCCCAUUCUCCUUUCACAUUCUCUAACCAGGCAUCACUAGUUGCUAUAUCCACAGGCCUGGUGGCAAAUGCAUCUCUUAACUGUGAUCGACCCCAUGAAAUAGGUGAUGCUGUGGCUACCUCAACAGAUGGUACUACUGUGUUCUCUGAUGUAAAGCUGAGGCGUUGUGAUCAAGUCAUGACCAUAAGUGGUUGUAUGAAUACAGUCAAGAUCCGUGGGCACUCGGUUGUUGUUAAUCUCACAUUGUUAUUUAACAUAAUAACCUGUGUCAUUCAGAGCAGUUCUGAUAUGGAUGGCGAUUUUUUUUAUUGCUACAACUGGAUUAACACUUGCGAGGUCAGAAUCAAAGCUAGUUAUGAUUGGUACUUACUGACACUGAUCUACUGGUCAUU